CAGCACCUCAAGUGGUCAGGAUGAUUAUUGGGCCUAAAGCAUCCGUAGCCGGCGCUGUAAGUUUUCGGUUAAAUCUGUACGCUCAACGUACAGGCUGCCGGGAAUACUGCAGCGCUAGGGAGUGGGAGAGGUAGACGGUACUCGGUAGGAAGGGGUAAAAUCCUUUGAUCUAUUGAUGACCACCUGUGGCGAAGGCGGUCUACCAGAACACGUCCGACGGUGAGGGAUGAAAGCUGGGGGAGCAAACCGGAUUAGAUACCCGAGAAGUCC
rnacentral:rRNA from 1 species